rnacentral:misc_RNA from 1 species
AACAAAUUGUUCAAUUUCCAUCCUUUCAACUUAUUGAAGCAGUCACCAUAUCACAUAUUCACAUUUUAGAGUAUACAACAUAUAGUUCUCACAUUAACAAAUCUAAACCUCAAAAAAGAUGCAAAACAGGAAAAGAUGCACAGAAAAGCAUAAAUGUAUAAAACUGGCCACACCUGUACCAACUUUACGCCUGAUUAAUCAACAUACUGGAGCAGGAGUGGGAUUCAGGAUUGGUGGUAGGAAGUGGUCUGGUAACAGCAGCUAAGAUAUCAGCGUAGCCAACAACUCCAACUAAAUGGUCAUCAUUAUCGGCAUCAGUAACCCAUACAUGAGUUGCACGAUGUGACAGCAUUUGAGCCAUAACGGCAGCUAGUGAGCUUGUCUCCUUACAUGUCAAUGGUGCACUCCUGCCACGAUACAUGCUCCUAGAAACACUUAAAGAUGAGUUUGUUGGAUUGCUGACGAACCCAAUACUCCUGCUGCUAAAUUUUUUUGGCCUAACUAUACUACCACGACUAUUGGCUGUAUUCGCAUUUGUUACCAUAGAAUUGACUGGAAAAUCAGGUAAGGAACUUGGGGAAAUAUUAUCCUCAACACCCAUCACAAAUUGUCCUGCUGAAAAAUUAGCUAAGGCCCAUGCUGCAGCUAAGUAAUCACACUUCCACAGUUUAGUGGCUGAAAUCUCGCCAAUUAUCUUAUUGUAAUCAUCUGCCAUAGGAUCAAUGACUGCAACUGCAGGGGGAUCCGAUGGUAGUUUUUGAGUGGCAUCUAUAGCUGGGCGUGAUGCUUCUAUUGAGCAGUAGUUUGGGUUAAUGAUUCCAAGGGAAUAGAUCGAGGAGAGAGGAAUAGGGGCUAAUGCACCAAGGCAACCAAUAAUAAAACGGAUGAUAUCUUCUCUGGACAGACAACAGAAUUUGUCACGAAUGGGCACAGGGGAAGAAGUUGAUGGACGGUUGGCAUUGGCAGCUGGGUUAGAAGUAUCAAUGUUCUUUAGCCAUUUGCCAUUAUAAAGAAUUGAAAAUCUCUUGCUCAUGCCUCUCCAUACAACACUUUUGGGAACUAGGAGUCGCUUCACACCUUGCUUCAUCAUUUCCAGUGCAUCUAUCAAUCUGGUGGCAGGAUCAAGCUCCUUGAGCAAAGAAUUAUCAGGAAGCACAACCUCAGAAACAGGAGUCUUCAUAGCUUUCUCCUGAUCAGCCAAACAUUCCUCUCUAGCCAAAAAUGCAACAAUAUCAAGAGAAUUAAGAAUACCCACAAACCUUUUUCGCCUCAUCUCUGCAUUCUCAAUCAUACCCUUUUGAGAUCUCGUCUUCCACACUGGUAUCCCACAUUCCGUAGACUCCCCAAUAGCCUUUAUAGCCGCCUCCACUGUUUGUGUCUCCGUAAAUUCAACUAACUCCGGUUUUCCCACUGUCAGAUCCCCAACCACAUGAUACAAAAACACCGAUGCCAUUACAACUCAAAUUGUAAAGAAGAAGAAGAAAAGGGUUUAAAAUUGUGUAAAUUUCGCAAAGAUCCGAAUUUGAAGGGGGAAAAGGAUUAUGGGUCCUAUAAUAGAGAAUGGAGGAAGAUAAGGAGAAGAUGAAAACGGGUAAUGCGGAAUCUGAUAAGAGAAGAACUAAUAGUAAAGUGAGAUAAAGGUAGAAGAUUGGCCAUGGAAGCUGAGAUUAACAAGGCAAAUAAAAUCAAGGCCCAUGAAAACUUUGAACUAAUUUUCUGGUAAAAUUUUGGUUCAAGAGGAAAAAGGAGAGAGGGAGGCAAAGGUCAAAU